GGGUGAGCGGAGCAGGGGCAGUAGCGGGGCGGAAGGGGCAGACAGCCGGGAUGGGAGGCAAGGGGAGAGAGACAGGUGAGAAGCCGCCUCCGGGGGCAGGGGAGGGCUCUAUCUAGGCCACCACCCCACUCCAGUCUAGCUUUGAGGUCACAGCUCUCCUCUGCUCCGCUUCCUUCUUUUUCUGCCACAUGCGCUCAGUUGCCCCCCCCCCCGACCCAGGCUCUGCCCUCCUGCGAGGGCUGCCCUGCGCCGCGCCACACCGUUCCCGUGUGCUGGCCUCCACGGUGGCACCAGCGCCCUGUGGGACCUUGGGGCCCGGAGCCCCUGCGUUUCACUCCCCGAGGGCCCCCAUCUGGUCCAGGCUCCGUAUUUCCCCCAGGUCUGCAUGCAGGCCAGCCAGGGCCGGCCCAUCUGUCGCUCCAGAGAUGCCUCCCUGCAGCGCCGGGCCGACGCUAGGCCCCUCCACCUCCCUUGCCCCUCCACUUGCCCCCCGGCUGUGUUGUUGGCAAGGGUCAGAGACUGAAACUGGAAGGAGGGAAAAAAAGAGAGAUAAGUAACUUCAAGCUUCCUCCUGCUGAGCACAUAACCAGCAUCGCCCCCCCCAGCCUAAAAGUGACACUAUGCAGAUGCCAGCCCCAGGAGGCAAGAGCCCAGUUUCCUUUCCACUAGAAGGGGGACAAAGAAGAGAAGAGGGCUAGAGGUUAAAGCAAGUGUGUCUGCAUCACCUCGCUGCUCCCCUCCCCUCUGUCCCUUACUGAAGAAGACCCCUGCCACCUGGACAGGGAGGGGUGGAGAUUUGAACCAGAUGCCCCUCAUCUCUUCAAAACUAGAUGUGAAUAAAUCCUUUUUUGCAAAA